AUUUGAAGGUGACGAAGAAUCAUGGGGUAUCGGUGAUGAUUUAUCAAAUGAUAUAGAGAAUGAUAUCGAAGAUAUUAGCCAUAGUAUACCAGAUGAAUAUACCAGUGAUUUUGUGACGCCAAUAAAAUUUCACAAUUUUACAUUGAAUGCCGAAGAUUUGUUAUAUGAAUCGAAACGCAAUAGAGAUAAUAGCAAUAAUAAUGAUUAUUUUUCCGCAUUUAGUGGUACGGGAACAUUUCGUAGUAAAUCUAGUCAAAUCUGGGACCCU
rnacentral:sRNA from 1 species